UAGACAAGAAUUCCAGAGACC
rnacentral:miRNA from 1 species